UGGUAAGUGGUUAUCAAAUGAAACAUUAGAUUUGCACAUGAUUAUUGCCCAAGUAUUUAACUCAUUAGCUAACUCAUCAAUUUGAUUCAUAGUAUAUGGAGUAAUAAUUUUAUUGGGAGAAAUCCCAAACAAUAACAAUAAAUAAUAAAGGCAAACUUAUAUCAAUUCUAUCCAAAUGCAUAUUUUCCAUAUAUGUUUCAAUGAUUUUUAAUGCCUUUCUUGCUUCAGGCGUUAACAUUCGGGGUGAAUUUGGAUCUGAUG
rnacentral:lncRNA from 1 species